rnacentral:rRNA from 1 species
AGGCAUGUAAACUAAUGCCGUAGGCGUUGUGAAAGCGUUUGUUUGUUUGGGCUUAACGGUCCGGCAAGCGUACGUGUGUUUCGUAGCGACGAUGCUGGCUUGAUCAGCCUGCCGCAGUCGCGCGGCGGUCUCGUUCUCGCGUUGUCUUUCGGGGCAACGUUUGGGAGGAGCCGUGCGUAGAGCUCACGUGCUAGUACCCGAAAGAUGGUGAACUAUGCUUGACGAGGGCUGAGUUAGGGGAAACCCUGAUGUAAGCCCGUCAUCGAUUCUGACGUGCAAAUCGAUCGUCUGAGUUACGUAUAGGGGCGAAAGACCAAUCGAACCAUCUAGUAGCUGGUUCCUUCCGAAGUUUCCCUCAGGAUAGCUCGUGCCGCUUUAGUUAGUAACAUGUGGUAAAGCUAAUGACUAGAGGUAUUGGGACCGAAACGGUCUCAACCUAUUCUCAAACUUUCAAUGUGUGUGAGAUGAGCCGGCUUACGGUGAAGCUACUUUGCUUGCAAAGUGGUCGAAGCCGCGCGCUUAGAUCUGUCUAGCGUGCUUGGUGCGCUAGUUGUAAUAACNCGGCACGUAGUGGGCCGAUUUUGGUAAGCAGAAACGGCGAUGUGGGAUGAACCAAAUGCGCGGCUAAAGCGUCCAAGUCAACGCUCAUGGGAAACCAUGAAAGGCGU